AUACGUAGGUGGCGAGCGUUGUCCGGAAUUACUGGGCGUAAAGGAUGCGUAGGUGGAUACUUAAGUGGGAUGUGAAAUCCCCGGGCUCAACCCGGGAACUGCAUUCCAAACUGGGUAUCUAGAGUGCAGGAGAGGAAAGCGGAAUUCCUAGUGUAGCGGUGAAAUGCGUGGAUAUUAGGAGGAACACCAGUGGCGAAGGCGGCUUUCUGGACUGUAACUGACACUGAGGCAUGAAAGCGUGGGUAGCAAACAGGAUUAGAUCCCCUGGUGGUCCACGCCGUAAACGAUGGGUACUAGGUGUAGGAGGUAUCGACCCCUUCUGUGCCGUCGUUAACACAAUAAGUACCCCGCCUGGGGAGUACGGUCGCAAGACUAAAACUCAAAUGAAUUGACGGGG
rnacentral:rRNA from 1 species